AAUAAAAUAAAUAAAAUAAUAAACCUACAAGCAAACCCGCGCGAAACAAGUUGUUCAAUAUUUCUUUUGUUCUCUGUCGAGCGGGCGGACUGUUUUUUAUGCAUGCGCAAGCGACGCGCCUACGGCCGCGAUGCUCCCGCCGCGUCUCCUAGUCCGAGCCAGAGCGUUAGUGAGCACGGACGUAUCGCUGUCCGUCACCGCCGGACCCGCGAUGUACGUAACUUUAUAAAAACUAAAUAUGUAAUCGCGUAUUGGUGAACCCCGCUACCGGGGUUCAUCUUCACCUUCAUCUUCUACGCCUAGCUACUACACCAUGCAUGGUCACCACUGCCGAAACUACCACCUGGGUCUUCAACCCGGCAGAGCUGCCUGCCGUGUCGGACGGCCCGUGCGCACAUUCUAAGUGGCCCUACACCACAGUGCGUACGGCCCUAACCGUCUGGCGCGUCGACGACUCUGCGGGCCUAC